UACGUAGGGUGCAAGCGUUAAUCGGAAUUACUGGGCGUAAAGCGUGCGCAGGCGGUUUUGUAAGUCUGUCGUGAAAUCCCCCGGGCUCAACCUGGGAAUUGCGAUGGAGACUGCAAGGCUAGAAUCUGGCAGAGGGGGGGUAGAAUUCCACGUGUAGCAGUGAAAUGCGUAGAGAUGUGGAGGAACACCGAUGGCGAAGGCAGCCCCCUGGGUCAAGAUUGACGCUCAUGCACGAAAGCUGGGGAGCAAACAGG
rnacentral:rRNA from 1 species